rnacentral:rRNA from 1 species
GAUGAACGCUGGCGGCAUGCUUAAUACAUGCAAGUCGAGCGAGCAGAUGUGGAUCUUGUUCCUCACACGUUAGCGACGCAUAGGAACCUGCCCUGUGGAUAACCACACCAACUGGCUGGGGUUGCUUAGACACCGCGGACCUAGUACCAGAAGAUAUAAUCCACCCCAGGGGUCGCUCGCGUCAGACUAGUUUGCUGUCAAUUUAAGAUCGUACCGAGCCGCCUGACCUAGUUGGUACGGUGACGACUUACCAAGACAAUGAUGCGUAGCCUACCUGAGAGGGUGAUCGGCCGCACGGGAACUGAGACGCGGUCCAGACUCCUACGGGAGGCAGCAGUAGGGAAUCUUCCGCAAUGGGCGAAAGCAUGACUGAGCAACGCCGCGUAAGUGAUGAAGGGCUUCGGAUCGUAAAACUCUGAUAUUAGGGAAGAACAAAUGUGUUAGUAACUAUGCACAUCUUGACGGUACCUAAUCAGAAAGCCACGGCUAACUACGUG